UCCGGGGUAGCUCAGUUGGCAGAGCAGCGGACUGUUAAUCCGCGUGUCGUGGGUUCGAGUCCCACCCCCGGAGCCA
rnacentral:tRNA from 1 species